rnacentral:rRNA from 1 species
UACGAAGGGUGCAAGCGUUACUCGGAAUUACUGGGCGUAAAGCGUGCGUAGGUGGUUUGUUAAGUCUGAUGUGAAAGCCCUGGGCUCAACCUGGGAAUUGCAUUGGAUACUGGCAGGCUAGAGUGCGGUAGAGGGUAGUGGAAUUCCCGGUGUAGCAGUGAAAUGCGUAGAGAUCGGGAAGAAUACCUGUGGCGAAGGCGGCCAGCUGGGCCAGAUCCGACACUGAGGCGCGAAAGCGUGGGGAGCAAACAGG